AGCGAACGCUGGCGGCAGGCCUAACACAUGCAAGUCGAACGGAUCCUUCGGGAUUAGUGGCGGACGGGUGAGUAACACGUGGGAACGUGCCCUUUGGUUCGGAACAACUCAGGGAAACUCGAGCUAAUACCGGAUGUGCCCUUCGGGGGAAAGAUUUAUCGCCAUUGGAGCGGCCCGCGUCUGAUUAGCUAGUUGGUGAGGUAAAGGCUCACCAAGGCGACGAUCAGUAGCUGGUCUGAGAGGAUGAUCAGCCACAUUGGGACUGAGACACGGCCCAAACUCCUACGGGAGGCAGCAGUGGGGAAUCUUGCGCAAUGGGCGAAAGCCUGACGCAGCCAUGCCGCGUGAAUGAUGAAGGUCUUAGGAUUGUAAAAUCCUUUCACCGGGGACGAUAAUGACGGUACCCGGAGAAGAAGCCCCGGCUAACUUCGUGCCAGCAGCCGCCGUAAUAC
rnacentral:rRNA from 1 species